rnacentral:rRNA from 1 species
UGGGGAAUAUUGGACAAUGGGGGCAACCCUGAUCCAGCCAUGCCGCGUGAGUGAUGAAGGCCUUCGGGUUGUAAAGCUCUUUUGGCGGGGACGAUGAUGACGGUACCCGCAGAAUAAGCCCCGGCUAACUUCGUGCCAGCAGCCGCGGUAAGACGAAGGGGGCUAGCGUUGUUCGGAAUUACUGGGCGUAAAGCGAGUGUAGGCGGUUGCCGUAGUCAGGUGUGAAAGCCUUGAGCUCAACUCAAGAAAUGCACUUGAUACUGGGUGACUAGAGGACCGGAGAGGAUAGUGGAAUUCCCAGUGUAGUGGUGAAAUACGUAGAGAUUGGGAAGAACACCAGUGGCGAAGGCGGCUAUCUGGACGGUUACUGACGCUAAGACUCGAAAGCGUGGGGAGCAAACAGGAUUAGAUACCCUGGUAGUCCACGCCCUAAACGAUGUCAACUAGUUGUUGGGGAUUCAUUUCCUUAGUAACGUAGCUAACGCGUGAAGUUGACCGCCUGGGGAGUACGGUCGCAAGAUUAAAACUCAAAUGAAUUGACGGGGUCAUAGCUGUUUCCU